rnacentral:piRNA from 1 species
GCAGCAGUUGAGGAGGCAUUUCGUGGUGAGC